rnacentral:rRNA from 1 species
UACAUGUGGGGCAAGCGUUGUUCGGAAUUACUGGGCAUAAAGGGUGCGUAGGCGGCUUGUUAAGUCAGUGGUGAAAGUUUUCGGCCCAACCGGAAAAUUGCCGUUGAUACUGGCGAGCUUGAGUGCGUGAGGGAUAGGGGGAACGAGCAGUGUAGCGGUGAAAUGCGUAGAUAUCAAGAGGAACACCUGCGGCGAAGGCGGGUUGCUGGGCCGACACUGACGCUGAGGCGCGAAAGCUAGGGGAGCGAACGGG